rnacentral:lncRNA from 1 species
CUACCGAACAGAGCAUGAUCUUUGCAUUAACUUCCAUAUCAACUUAGAAAAUUGUCUACUUACAGUUACCAAAUCUAGAAGAAGCAUUGUGUAAGAAUGUUAAAUAAACCUGCUUUGCUCUUUCCUAUAAAAGGAAAUGGCAUGCACAUUAGUCAUUACAAUAAAAAUGCCAACUAUGGCUUUAUCAUAAUAAUUCUUAUAUAACAUGGCUUGAGAUACCCAAAGUACAUAUUUUCUAUCAACACAAAUGCUUCUUCACC